AUUGAACGCUGGCGGCAGGCUUAACACAUGCAAGUCGAGCGGAGCGAGGGUGCUUGCACCUUAGCUUAGCGGCGGACGGGUGAGUAAUGCUUAGAAAUCUGCCUAUUAGUGGGGGACAACAUUCCGAAAGGGAUGCUAAUACCGCAUACGCUCUACGGGGGAAAGCAGGGGAUCUUCGGACCUUGCGCUAAUAGAUGAGCCUAAGUCGGAUUAGCUAGUUGGUGGGGUAAAGGCCUACCAAGGCGACGAUCUGUAGCAGGUCUGAGAGGAUGGUCGCCCACACAGGGUCUGAGACACGGCCCAGACUCCUACGGGAGGCAGCGGUGGUGAAUAUUGGUCAAUGGGCGAGAGCCUGAACCAGCCAUCCCUCGGGCAGGAAGACGGCCCUUUGGGUUGUAAACUGCUUUUGCGCAUGAAGAAUGUUACCGACGUGUCGGUAAGUGACGGUAAUGCGUGAAUAAGCAUCGGCUAACUCCGUGCCAGCCGCCGCAGUAA
rnacentral:rRNA from 1 species